GAUGAACGCUAGCUACAGGCUUAACACAUGCAAGUCGAGGGGUAACGAGAGGAAAGCUUGCUUUCCUUGUCGACGACCGGCGCACGGGUAAGUAACGCGUAUCCAACCUGCCCCCAACUAGGGAAUAACCUUGCGAAAGUAAGACUAAUACCCUAUAAUUUCCUCAGAUGUCAUCUGACGAGGAAUAAAGAUUUAUCGGUUGUGGAUGGGGAUGCGUCUGAUUAGCUUGUUGGCGGGGUAACGGCCCACCAAGGCAACGAUCAGUAGGGGUUCUGAGAGGAAGGUCCCCAACAUUGGAACUGGGACACGGUCCAAACUCCUACGGGAGGCAGCAGUGAGGAAUAUUGGUCAACGGGCGGAAGCCUGAACCAGCCAAGUAGCGUGCAGGAUGACGGCCCUAUGGGUUGUAAACUGCUUUUAUACAGGAAUAAAGUUAACCACGUGUGGUUAUUUGUAGGUACUGUAUGAAUAAGGACCGGCUAAUUCCGUGCCAGCCGCCGCGGUAA
rnacentral:rRNA from 1 species